rnacentral:pre_miRNA from 1 species
GGGGGGAGUGCAGGAUCCCAGCUGUGUCCCCCGGCGCCUUGGGCUCCGGGGCUUGCGCUGCUGGAAUCAUGCUCCCGGAGCUGCAGCUCCCG